rnacentral:rRNA from 1 species
UGGGGAAUAUUGCACAAUGGGGGAAACCCUGAUGCAGCGACGCCGCGUGAAGGAUGAAGUAUUUCGGUAUGUAAACUUCUAUCAGCAGGGAAGAAGAUGACGGUACCUGACUAAGAAGCCCCGGCUAACUACGUGCCAGCAGCCGCGGUAAUACGUAGGGGGCAAGCGUUAUCCGGAUUUACUGGGUGUAAAGGGAGCGUAGACGGCGAUGCAAGCCAGAUGUGAAAGCCCGGGGCUCAACCCCGGGACUGCAUUUGGAACUGCGUGGCUGGAGUGUCGGAGAGGCAGGCGGAAUUCCUAGUGUAGCGGUGAAAUGCGUAGAUAUUAGGAGGAAUACCAGUGGCGAAGGCGGCCUGCUGGACGAUGACUGACGUUGAGGCUCGAAAGCGUGGGGAGCAAACAGGAUUAGAUACCCUGGUAGU